rnacentral:lncRNA from 1 species
UCUGCAGAUGCUCCCAUGGGUUUGCCCGUUGUGGCAAAGUCUUCUCACUCAGACAAGAGAAAGUCCUCACAAGUGGUGGAGCCACAGGUUGUAGAUUUGGCUGGGGAUAUGCCACCUCCCAAGAUUGCCGAUGAGGUAAUCUUUGCUUCACUUUUACUUCCACUUUGUACAUUGUAGUGAAAACCUUCAAUGUUGGCAACUUUCUUUGCAGGAUGCUGAUAGGAUUGUGCGUUCCAUCCAGGACUUGUUCACUUCUUGGGGGCAAGUUAAGACGUCUCGCCCUGUUUCAACCAGUCGUCCUUCUGCUUCUUCAGAGGAAGAUAUGAAGUUCCUCAAACAUUCGAUAUUUGAGUAUGUGUCCUUUAUGGAUAUGGACAUCGGUCAGGCUAGCGUUGCCAAACAUAAGGAUAAGCUUGAGCAUUUGAGUGCGAAGUUGGCAUAAGCACUGACACUUCUGUCGCUCAAUCUUUCUGCUGAUUUUAAAGCGACGUUGAAAGUUGUCCAUUCUGAGAUUCUCUCCUUGCUGGCCAAAAAUGUUGAACUGAAGGUCAAAAGUACUCAAUAUCUUCGCGCUGCAUCUGAAAGAGAGUCUUUGCUUCUGGAGAUCAACAAAGCCGAGGACGAACUGAAAGAAAUCUCUUCUGAAGUCAUGAUUGAAGACUCUUUGAUGACCAGUUUGGCUGCACAGAUGAAGGAACUUCAAGCAAGGAUGGACGAUUGCAAUGCGAGAAUGGCUGCUAAAAAAUGCAAUGCCUCCCAAGGAAUUGAGAGAACCAAGUCCAUGGUCGAGCAGUACAAGAAACUGGAGGUUGAUGAUGAUUUUGUGGCUGAAUUGAAUGUCACUACCUCUCAGCAGAGCGAGGAUUGGGGGAGACUUAGGGAAAGAAUUCGUUCAGUCUAGGGCGAAUUGUAAUUAAGACAUUUAAUGCCUUAAAUUUUCUUUUUGUAACUUCGUAUUAACCCUUUGUAACCUCGUACUGAUAUCCAUUGGUAAUUCUGAACAUAUUAGCAGCCAUUA